rnacentral:rRNA from 1 species
GGUUACAUCGCAUGAAAAGCCGGUUCCCGUACGAUCACCGAAGUUAAGCAACGUCGAGCUUGAUCAGUAACUAUAUGGGUGACCGCUAGAGAAUGCCAGGCGCUGGA